rnacentral:snRNA from 1 species
GUGCUCUUCUGCAGCACGUAUACUAAAAUUGGAACGAUACAGAGAAGAUUAGCAUGGCCCCUGUGCAAGGAUGACAUGCAAAUUUGUGAAGCAUUCCAUAAUAAA